rnacentral:rRNA from 1 species
GACGAACGCUGGCGGCGUGCUUAACACAUGCAAGUCGAACGGAAAGGCCCUGCUUUUGUGGGGUGCUCGAGUGGCGAACGGGUGAGUAACACGUGAGUAACCUGCCCUUGACUUUGGGAUAACUUCAGGAAACUGGGGCUAAUACCGGAUAGGAGCUCCUGCUGCAUGGUGGGGGUUGGAAAGUUUCGGCGGUUGGGGAUGGACUCGCGGCUUAUCAGCUUGUUGGUGGGGUAGUGGCUUACCAAGGCUUUGACGGGUAGCCGGCCUGAGAGGGUGACCGGCCACAUUGGGACUGAGAUACGGCCCAGACUCCUACGGGAGGCAGCGGAGGGGAAUAUUGCACAAUGGGCGGAAGCCUGAUGCAGCAACGCAGCGUGCGGGAUGACGGCCUUCGGGUUGUAAACCACUUUCGCCUGUGACGAAGCGUGAGUGACGGUAAUGGGUAAAGAAGCACCGGCUAACUACGUG